rnacentral:rRNA from 1 species
GUGGGGAAUAUUGGACAAUGGGCGAAAGCCUGAUCCAGCCAUGCCGCGUGAGUGAUGAAGGCCUUAGGGUUGUAAAGCUCUUUUGUCCGUGAAGAUAAUGACUGUACCGGAAGAAUAAGCCCCGGCUAACUUCGUGCCAGCAGCCGCGGUAAUACGAAGGGGGCUAGCGUUGCUCGGAAUCACUGGGCGUAAAGGGCGCGUAGGCGGACUUUUAAGUCGGAGGUGAAAGCCCAGGGCUCAACCCUGGAAUUGCCUACGAUACUGGGAGUCUUGAGUUCGGAAGAAGUUGGUGGAACUGCGAGGGUAGAGGUGAAAUUCGUAGAUAUUCGCAAGAACACCGGUGGCGAAGGCGGCCAACUGGUCCGAAACUGACGCUGAGGUGCGAAAGCGUGGGGAGCAAACAGGAUUAGAUACCCGAGUAGUCC